UGGGGAAUAUUGGACAAUGGGCGCAAGCCUGAUCCAGCCAUGCCGCGUGAGUGACGAAGGCCUUAGGGUUGUAAAGCUCUUUUGGCGGGGAAGAUAAUGACGGUACCCGCAGAAUAAGCUCCGGCUAACUUCGUGCCAGCAGCCGCGGUAAUACGAAGGGAGCUAGCGUUGUUCGGAAUCACUGGGCGUAAAGCGCACGUAGGCGGACUUUCAAGUCAGGGGUGAAAUCCCGGGGCUCAACCUCGGAACUGCCUUUGAUACUGUUGCUCUCGAGUCCGGAAGAGGUGAGUGGAAUUCCUAGUGUAGAGGUGAAAUUCGUAGAUAUUAGGAAGAACACCGGUGGCGAAGGCGGCUCACUGGUCCGGUACUGACGCUGAGGUGCGAAAGCAUGGGGAGCGAACA
rnacentral:rRNA from 1 species